AUCUGAAUGGUGGAAGAUGGGACUCAGAGAGCAGGCAGAGCUGAAGGUCUUUCCUGGUUAUAAUCACUGGGGAAAGACUCCUGACCCAAAAGAGAACAACUGUCAUGAACAGCAAGGGAGGUGAAAAUAACCAAAUCUAAGGAACUUUGAGGAAUGAGAAUAUCUAGAGUCCAGAAUGAGGUACACCCAAGGGAGAGGACUGUGGCAGAGACUGGCAUAGAGACGGCACCUUGAAUGCUUGCUGAAUCAGUAACGGAAGAAACCAAGUCUGUCUUCUCUCAGGAUUCUGGUAUCCGGAGCUAUUUUCAGAGCUGAAAAAAAAACUCACUGUAUUUUCGUGGGUGUAACACUGUGGCUGUAGAUAUUAGCCAGCAGUUUCAUUCAGUUUCCUGGCUUGCUCUCGUCACUCUACCGCUUCGUCCCUCCUUCUUCUCUCCUUCUUCGAAGCCCUCUGCCCUCUCUUCAUCCAUCAGCUCCUACAGCUCCAUGUGCCCCAAAGAGGAAGGGACUGAGGAAGAACCCUGGGAAACUCUCAGAGUAGAGUAGCUCCUGCUGAGACCAGGACCAGCCUUUCCAGACUGGCAGAAAAAACCCCAAAUCACUGCAGCAAGGAGCCUGGGCCAGGGUCAGCCACCAGGGGCAGAAGAGCUAAGACUGCAGAAGGGCCCUGAAUCCAGGCCAGAUCAACCCAACAGACACGCCUAUGGUGGUUCUGAAGUUCACAGGAAUGGCUAAUAUACACUCGAAGAAAGUGCAUUAAAUAAGUCAUUGCACAGAUUCAUUUUAA
ensembl:lncRNA